rnacentral:misc_RNA from 1 species
UAGCACUUUACUGAGCCAACUCACCA